AAUUUUUUAUGCAUGAACAUGAUGGUUCAGCCACUCUUAAAAGAAAUUAGAUUUUUUUGUCAUAUGAAUUUAAUCUUGUGAUUAAUUUUAAAUGGGAUCCUUGUCUGUUGAAAAGGGUACAUCUGACCUCAACCUAAUUGAAUGGAUCUGUGUUAACUUUUUGACGUCAAGUCUGUAUCUCUGGUACUAUUUUAAAAGCAAAAGGACAAUUAUAUUUGGUGUAUGGAACAAUUGCAUGGUGUACAUGUUGUUUGGAAGAGUUCCAUCUAGCCUUCGCCUCAUUUUUAUGGUUCAUUGGUCAAUAUUCAGUAAUACAUGUAAUUAUAAAAAACUUAAUAAGGUAGGUUUCUUUGCU
rnacentral:lncRNA from 1 species